UGCAAUUCGAAGGAAGGUUUCGCCCUUAGUGGCGCACGGGUGCGUAACGCGUGGGAAUCUGCCUUGGGGUACGGAAUAACUCAGAGAAAUUUGAGCUAAUACCGUAUGAUGUCUUCGGACCAAAGAUUUAUCGCCCUGAGAUGAGCCCGCGUAGGAUUAGCUAGUUGGUGGGGUAAAGGCCUACCAAGGCGACGAUCCUUAGCUGGUCUGAGAGGAUGAUCAGCCACACUGGGACUGAGACACGGCCCAGACUCCUACGGGAGGCAGCAGUGGGGAAUAUUGGACAAUGGGCGCAAGCCUGAUCCAGCAAUGCCGCGUGAGUGAUGAAGGCCUUAGGGUUGUAGAGCUCUUUUACCCGGGAAGAUAAUGACUGUACCGGGAGAAUAAGCCC
rnacentral:rRNA from 1 species